AUUGAACGCUGGCGGCAUGCCUUACACAUGCAAGUCGAACGGCAGCACGGGAGCAAUCCUGGUGGCGAGUGGCGAACGGGUGAGUAAUAUAUCGGAACGUGCCCAGUCGUGGGGGAUAACGUAGCGAAAGCUACGCUAAUACCGCAUACGAUCUAUGGAUGAAAGCGGGGGAUCGCAAGACCUCGCGCGAUUGGAGCGGCCGAUAUCAGAUUAGGUAGUUGGUGAGGUAAAGGCUCACCAAGCCGACGAUCUGUAGCUGGUCUGAGAGGACGACCAGCCACACUGGGACUGAGACACGGCCCAGACUCCUACGGGAGGCAGCAGUGGGGGAAUUUUUGGACAAUGGGCGCAAGCCUGAUCCAGCAAUGCCGCGUGCAGGAUGAAGGCCUCGG
rnacentral:rRNA from 1 species